rfam:Schistosoma curassoni strain Dakar, Senegal genome assembly, scaffold: SCTD_contig0000841
GCACUCCUGAGGAGUUCCACAAUAGGACGAAACGGCCGUCCAGUGC